GAGAAAGAUUUGGAAUAUAUUUUUAUGCACAUGCAUUACACCCUUAGCUAUGCUCCAUGAUUCGCCCCUGGCCAAUAAUUGCUUAGAAAAAGCCGAAAAAGAUGCUGUCUAGCUUAGUAUAGUAUCCAAUUUACUUUUCAAACACUAUAUUAUAUCUCCAUUGCUAAAGUCCUCGAAAUAUCAAAGCUUUAAUUAAGUAGUUUGGGUUCUUCUAAGAUGGCUAUGGCAACGAUUCGAUGACAAGCAACGACCUAAAGAACCCCUGCAAGUUCAAUCAUGUGUAGGGUUUGAUCACAUUGAAGAUGAUUCUAUGCAUGUUGUAGUAGCCAUUGUUGUUGGUUGCUUGAUACGGCUAUAUAAAUGGAGUUGGAGAUCUGGCUGUGUAACAAUGGGUUCAACCACUCUUAUAUUCACUGGUAAAAAAGUUAUAUUGUGGAGAUGGAGACACUGAAACGAAGCUGUAUCGUCUCAAGAUGAAGAAUAGUACAAUUUCGUUUCAGUUUCUCCAUGUCCAUAAUAUAAUUUCUUUUAUCAGUGAAUAUAAAAGUGGCUGAACCCAUUGUUUCACAAGCAGAUCUCCAACUCCUUUUUGGAGCCGAUUCAAUUUAUAGUGAAGCAUAGACGACGCUGUUCGCUCUGAUUGCCUAGAUAUGAAAUAGAUAAAAUUGUUGGUGUUGAUGCAACAAAGCAAUUACAACAUCAUUGUAACAAACCGAUCAACCAUCAUAUAAUAUAUGCAUUAUUAAGAAAAUGUACGUCAUAUUGUCAUGGAUUAUUCAACCGUCAAAUAUGACUGUCUGUUAUACCAUGUUAGCAAGAUGAUAUGCACGUAUUUCAUGUCCAAAGAUAUGCAAUGUGAAAUGAAUCAAACUUUGCAGGAAA